GACGAACGCUGGCGGCGUGCCUAAUACAUGCAAGUAGAACGCUGAAGGAGGAGCUUGCUCUUCUGGAUGAGUUGCGAACGGGUGAGUAACGCGUAGGUAACCUGCCUGGUAGCGGGGGAUAACUAUUGGAAACGAUAGCUAAUACCGCAUAACAGUAGAUGUUGCAUGACAUUUGCUUAAAAGGUGCAAUUGCACCACUACCAGAUGGACCUGCGUUGUAUUAGCUAGUUGGUGGGGGAACGGCUCACCAAGGCGACGAUACAUAGCCGACCUGAGGGGGAGGACGGCCCACAUGGGAACGGAGCACGGCCCAAACUCCUACGGGGGGGAGGAAGAGGGAAUCUUUGGACAUGGGGGGAAAGCUGGACGAACAAAGGCGGGGGGGUGGAAGAGGUUCUCGGGAUGGAAAACUAUUUUGAGGGGGGAGAAAGGGGAGGAAGGUGAAAAGUUCACGUUUUGACGGUAUCUAACCAAAAAGGAACGGCUAACUACGUG
rnacentral:rRNA from 1 species